CACAAGUGCAGUGCACAGCUGGAUUUACUGAAAUGUCUCAAAGGAUAAUGAAACAGACAGAGAUCCUGAACCAUGUCAAACCCAUUAGUGAAUCUCCAGUAUCUCCAAUGUGGCAGGUUAGCGGCUGACACUGCUUUUUACAUGGUUGCUCUCCAAGGCUAGAAAUGUGACAACCUUGAAGAAAACACCUGGGCCAGUUUGAAACGCCAUUCACAUUUGAUAUUGUCAGCUAACUGCAUGCAUUAACCAGUGGAUGUGGGACUUGUGAUUAUGAAACUUCUGUAGUAAAUACUUGUUCUGGUGAUAAAUGAACAAAUAGCAGCUAGAUUUCCAAAAAACUAGAAAUCCCACAAUUCA
ensembl:lncRNA